ACGAACGCUGGCGGCGUGCUUCACCCCUGCAAGUCGAACGGAAAGGCCCUGCUUUUGUGGGGUGCUCGAGUGGCGAACGGGUGAGUAACACGUGAGUAACCUGCCCUUGACUUUGGGAUAACUUCAGGAAACUGGGGCUAAUACCGGAUAGGAGCUCCUGCUGCAUGGUGGGGGUUGGAAAGUUUCGGCGGUUGGGGAUGGACUCGCGGCUUAUCAGCUUGUUGGUGGGGUAGUGGCUUACCAAGGCUUUGACGGGUAGCCGGCCUGAGAGGGUGACCGGCCACAUUGGGACUGAGAUACGGCCCAGACUCCUACGGGAGGCAGCAGUGGGAAAUAUUGCACAAUGGGCGGAAGCCUGAUGCAGCAACGCCGCGUGCGGGAUGACGGCCUUCGGGUUGUAAACCGCUUUCGCCUGUGACGAAGCGUGAGUGACGGUAAUGGGUAAAGAAGCACCGGCUAACUACGUG
rnacentral:rRNA from 1 species